GUAUGAUGAUUGUGGUCCCUCUAAUCUUGACCUAUUCGUGAAGACUAUUCAACCACAUACCCACUUCUGAUAUACUUUAGUAAUAAAAGUAUCGCAACUGUUGUUAAUUAAUAGAUUUUGAUACAAAAAUUAUUUUUAUUUUAGCUUUGGCGCUGAAAAACAUUUCUGAUGUUAUAUGAAAUUCUUCAUCUGCGAAAAUAAGGGAAGCCUAUUGGUCCAGUCGCCUCGUCAUGAAAAAUUGCACAACUAACAUCAUUACUGAAUUUUAGAGAACGAUCAAAUCAUGGCGAGUGUAAAGGAACAAUGAUAAAACGUGAUGGAUAGUUUUGGAGAAACAGGGGCUCCAUGAUAGGUAAGUCGUAAAGAUAACAAUUACUCAAAACUGAUUUUCUUUCAUGUUUUAUGAUGAUUGUGGUCCCUCUAAUCUUGACCUAUUCGUGAAGACUAUUCAACCACAUACCCACUUCUGAAUCGUAACAUUUUCUCAACGUAUUGAUUACUUGCAUUCCAGUUUACUAAUAAAAGUUCUUGUU